rnacentral:rRNA from 1 species
UGCUGGAGGUAUCAGAAGUGCGAAUGCUGACAUAAGUAACGAUAAAGCGGGUGAAAAGCCCGCUCGCCGGAAGACCAAGGGUUCCUGUCCAACGUUAAUCGGGGCAGGGUGAGUCGACCCCUAAGGCGAGGCCGAAAGGCGUAGUCGAUGGGAAACGGGUUAAUAUUCCCGUACUUGGUGUUACUGCGAAGGGGGGACGGAGAAGGCUAUGUUGGCCGGGCGACGGUUGUCCCGGUUUAAGCGUGUAGGUGUGUGUUCCAGGUAAAUCCGGUUCACUUUAACACUGAGGCGUGAUGACGAGGCACUACGGUGCUGAAGCAACAAAUGCCCUGCUUCCAGGAAAAGCCUCUAAGCAUCAGGUAACAUCAAAUCGUACCCCAAACCGACACAGGUGGUCAGGUAGAGAAUACCAAGGCGCUUGAGAGAACUCGGGUGAAGGAACUAGGCAAAAUGGUGCCGUAACUUCGGGAGAAGGCACGCUGACAYGUAGGUGAAGUGAUUUACUCAUGGAGCUGAAGUCAGUCGAAGAUACCAGCUGGCUGCAACUGUUUAUUAAAAACACAGCACUGUGCAAACACGAAAGUGGACGUAUACGGUGUGACGCCUGCCCGGUGCCGGAAGGUUAAUUGAUGGGGUCAGCGCAAGCGAAGCUCCUGAUCGAAGCCCCGGUAAACGGCGGCCGUAACUAUAACGGUCCUAAGGUAGCGAAAUUCCUUGUCGGGUAAGUUCCGACCUGCACGAAUGGCGUAAUGAUGGCCAGGCUGUCUCCACCCGAGACUCAGUGAAAUUGAACUCGCUGUGAAGAUGCAGUGUACCCGCGGCAAGACGGAAAGACCCCGUGAACCUUUACUAUAGCUUGACACUGAACAUUGAGCCUUGAUGUGUAGGAUAGGUGGGAGGCUUUGAAGYGUGGACGCCAGUCUGCRUGGAGCCGACCUUGAAAUACCACCCUUUAAUGUUUGAUGUUCUAACGUGGACCCGURAUCCGGGUUGCGGACAGUGUCUGGUGGGUAGUUUGACUGGGGCGGUCUCCUCCUAAAGAGUAACGGAGGAGCACGAAGGUUGGCUAAUCCUGGUCGGACAUCAGGAGGUUAGUGCAAUGGCAUAAGCCAGCUUGACUGCGAGCGUGACGGCGCGAGCAGGUGCGAAAGCAGGUCAUAGUGAUCCGGUGGUUCUGAAUGGAAGGGCCAUCGCUCAACGGAUAAAAGGUACUCCGGGGAUAACAGGCUGAUACCGCCCAAGAGUUCAUAUCGACGGCGGUGUUUGGCACCUCGAUGUCGGCUCAUCACAUCCUGGGGCUGAAGUAGGUCCCAAGGGUAUGGCUGUUCGCCAUUUAAAGUGGUACGCGAGCUGGGUUUAGAACGUCGUGAGACAGUUCGGUCCCUAUCUGCCGUGGGCGCUGGAGAACUGAGGGGGGCUGCUCCUAGUACGAGAGGACCGGAGUGGACGCAUCACUGGUGUUCGGGUUGUCAUGCCAAUGGCACUGCCCGGUAGCUAAAUGCGGAAGAGAUAAGUGCUGAAAGCAUCUAAGCACGAAACUUGCCCCGAGAUGAGUUCUCCCUGAGACUUAGAGUCUCCUGAAGGAACGUUGAAGACGACGACGUUGAUAGGCCGGGUGUGUAAGCGCAGCGAUGCGUUGAGCUAACCGGUACUAAUGAACCGUGAGGCUUAACCUUACAACGCCGAAG